rnacentral:rRNA from 1 species
CCAGGACUUUUACUUUGAGGAAAUUAGAGUGUUUCAAGCAGGCUCACGCCUUGAAUACAUUAGCAUGGAAUAAUAAGAUAAGACCUUGGUUUAUUUUGUUGGUUUCUAGACCCGAGGUAAUGGUUAAUAGGGAUAGUUGGGGGCAUUCGUAUUUAACUGUCAGAGGUGAAAUUCUUGGAUUUGUUAAGGACGGACCACUGCGAAAGCAUUUGCCAAGAAUGUUUUCAUUGAUCAAGAACGAAAGUUAGGGG